GAUGAACGCUGGCGGCGUGCCUAAUACAUGCAAGUCGAGCGAAUGGAUUAAGAGCUUGCUCUUAUGAAGUUAGCGGCGGACGGGUGAGUAACACGUGGGUAACCUGCCCAUAAGACUGGGAUAACUCCGGGAAACCGGGGCUAAUACCGGAUAACAUUUUGAACCGCAUGGUUCGAAAUUGAAAGGCGGCUUCGGCUGUCACUUAUGGAUGGACCCGCGUCGCAUUAGCUAGUUGGUGAGGUGACGGCUCACCAAGGCAACGAUGCGUAGCCGACCUGAGAGGGUGAUCGGCCACACUGGGACUGAGACACGGCCCAGACUCCUACGGGAGGCAGCAGUAGGGAAUCUUCCGCAAUGGACGAAAGUCUGACGGAGCAACGCCGCGUGAGUGAUGAAGGCUUUCGGGUCGUAAAACUCUGUUGUUAGGGAAGAACAAGUGCUAGUUGAAUAAGCUGGCACCUUGACGGUACCUAACCAGAAAGCCACGGCUAUCUACGUGCCAGCCGCCGCGGUAA
rnacentral:rRNA from 1 species